rnacentral:rRNA from 1 species
CAGCCGCCGCGGUAAUACAGAGGCCUCAAGCGUUGUUCGGAUUCAUUGGGCGUAAAGGGAGCGUAGGCGGUCGGGUAAGUCGGAUGUGAAAUCCUGGGGCUCAACCUCAGAACUGCAUUCGAUACUGCUUGGCUAGAGGACUGGAGAGGUGAGUGGAAUUCACGGUGUAGCAGUGAAAUGCGUAGAUAUCGUGAGGAAGACCAGCGGCGAAGGCGGCUCACUGGACAGUUUCUGACGCUGAUGCUCGAAGGCCAGGGGAGCAAACGGGAUUAGAUACCCCGGUAGUCCCUGUCUCUUAUAC